rnacentral:lncRNA from 1 species
CGCCAUCUUGAAAUAAUUACUUGUCACAUAUAAAUUCUGUUUGGUUGCUUCAUGAUGUGGCUGAUAUUCAGCAACAACUAUUGGCUUAAAUAAGAUAAAGAACUACAGACUGUUCUCUUCUGAGGAUAUUAAGCCAUUAAAUGCCGGAAAAUUAACUAUGUGUAUUACAUUUCAGAUCAAAUGUUAUUAAUUCAUGGUCGUUUUAUU